rnacentral:rRNA from 1 species
CCUACGGGUGGCAGCAGUGAGGAAUAUUGGUCAAUGGGCGGACGCCUGAACCAGCCAAGUAGCGUGCGGGAUGACGGCCCUACGGGUCGUAAACCGCUUUUGUACGGGGAUAACACCCUCCACUUGUGGAGGUCUUCAGGUACCGUGCGAAUAAGGGCCGGCUAAUUCCGUUCCAGCAGCCGCGGUAAUACGGAAGGCCCGAGCGUUAUCCGGGUUCAGUGGGGUUAAAGGGAGCGUAGGCGGGCGUUCAAGUCAGCGGUAAAAUCGCGCGGCUCAACCGCGCCCCGCAGUUGAAACUGGACGUCUUGAGUUCACAACAGGCAGGCGGAAUUCGUGGUGUAGCGGUGAAAUGCAUAGAUAUCACGAGGAACCCCGAUUGCGAAGGCAGCCUGCCGGGGUGCGACUGACGCUGAGGCUCGAAGGUGCGGGUAUCAAACAGGAUUAGAUACCCCAGUAGGC